UCCAAAAUCUCUCCUUUCCGCACCUCCAAAAUUCAAAACUAGCGCUUCGAAAAUUUCAUUCUCCAAGGUUCAAAGAACAUUUCGAUUCCCUUUCUGAUGGAGGCCGCGAAGACGACGAGGGGAGCGGGAGGUAGAAGAGGUGGAGACAGGAAGAAGUCGGUCUCAAAGUCUAUCAAGGUUGAGCUUCACUUUCAAUUCCUCAUGGGUUGGAGUACUCGGUAUUUGAAGAAGGGUCGCUACGCUUAGAGGACAGGCUCUAGUGCUCCGAUCUACCUCGCCGCAAUUCUUGAAUAUCUCGCUGCUGAGAUUGUGCAAGCCUUCCAUCAUUUCAUACAUGUGUUGGCACUAAUGAGGAAAGGCUAACCCCAAAGUGGUAUAAGGAACAUGGGAUUGAAUUGGUUCUUGGAACUCAAGUCAAGUCAGCUGAUGUAAGGCGCAAGACUUUAUUGGCAACAGCUGGGGAGACUAUUAGUUACAAGAUGUCAUUUGAAGUUCUUUGUUUUCAAGUCAAGUCAAGUCAGCUGUCAUUUUAAGUUCUCUGUUUUUAUUCUUCACCAGUGAGUUCCUCUUUUUUUUUUCCAGUAUGUAGAGUUCAGACUUAGCCCUUUUGGGCUUGAAGUUUUAUUUUUAUCCUCUGAAAUCUAUCUUUCAAAAAGGUUUUCUAGGUGCUCCGGGAAGAUAUGAGUUGUAGAGGUAUAAAUGGAUUUAAAAUAAUCUAUGAAAGUAGAUUCGAUGAUAUCUUGAUCCAUUGUCCAAUUACUUGGGCUUAGCUUGAUUGAGUCGAUCUCAUUUCUUCUUCGGCGAAUAGUUGUUGACAGAUGAUAAAACUUUGUAUUUAGGUCAGUUGUAGUGAGCCAGUUGAUUCUUGAUUUUAG